UCAGCACCUACACCCAAGGGUCACUAUUUAUUGUAGUAGUGUCUCAAACACGGGUGCUAACAGCAAACCUCAUCGCCUUUGGAGAACUUCCUGUGCCCUUCAAAGCAAAUUUAGAGGUUCUACACAC
rfam:Erinaceus europaeus unplaced genomic scaffold scaffold00206, whole genome shotgun sequence